AGCGAACGCUGGCGGCAGGCCUAACACAUGCAAGUCGAACGAAGUCUUCGGACUUAGUGGCGGACGGGUGAGUAACACGUGGGAACGUACCUUUUGGUUCGGAACAACUCAGGGAAACUUGAGCUAAUACCGGAUGAGCCCUUAGGGGGAAAGAUUUAUCGCCGAAAGAGCGGCCCGCGUUAGAUUAGCUAGUUGGUGAGGUAAAGGCCCACCAAGGCUACGAUCUAUAGCUGGUCUGAGAGGAUGAUCAGCCACACUGGGACUGAGACACGGCCCAGACUCCUACGGGAGGCAGCAGUGGGGAAUCUUGCGCAAUGGGCGAAAGCCUGACGCAGCCAUGCCGCGUGAAUGAUGAAGGUCUUAGGAUUGUAAAAUUCUUUUACCAGGGACGAUAAUGACGGUACCUGGAGAAAAAGCCCCGGAUAACUUCGUGCCAGCAGCCGCCGUAACAC
rnacentral:rRNA from 1 species